rnacentral:rRNA from 1 species
GACGAACGCUGGCGGCGUGCUUAACACAUGCAAGUCGAACGGAAAGGCCCUUCGGGGUACUCGAGUGGCGAACGGGUGAGUAACACGUGGGUGAUCUGCCCUGCACUUUGGGAUAAGCCUGGGAAACUGGGUCUAAUACCGAAUAGGACCACGCGCUUCAUGGUGUGUGGUGGAAAGCUUUUGCGGUGUGGGAUGGGCCCGCGGCCUAUCAGCUUGUUGGUGGGGUCAUGGCCUACCAAGGCGACGACGGGUAGCCGGCCUGAGAGGGUGACCGGCCACACUGGGACUGAGAUACGGCCCAGACUCCUACGGGAGGCAGCAGUGGGGAAUAUUGCACAAUGGGCGCAAGCCUGAUGCAGCGACGCCGCGUGAGGGAUGACGGCCUUCGGGUUGUAAACCUCUUUCAAUAGGGACGCAGCGCAAGUGACGUUACCUAUAGAAGAAGCACCGGCCAACUACGUG